rnacentral:pre_miRNA from 1 species
AGCUUUCUGAAUCCGUGGUGAGAUUUUGUUAGGCACCAACACAUUAAGUCCGAUCAGAUUUCCAAGAUAAGUGAAGUU